UACGGAGGAUGCAAGCGUUAUCCGGAAUUAUUGGGCGUAAAGCGUCCGCAGGUGGCUGUGUAAGUCUGCUGUCAAAGAGCAAAGCUCAACUUUGUAAAGGCAGUGGAAACUACACGGCUAGAGUGCGUUCGGGGCAGGGGGAAUUCCUGGUGUAGCGGUGAAAUGCGUAGAGAUCAGGAAGAACACCGGUGGCGAAGGCGCUCUGCUGGGCCGCAACUGACACUGAGGGACGAAAGCUAGGGGAGCGAAUGGG
rnacentral:rRNA from 1 species